AUCGAAAUUUUAUUGUAAUUUAUCACGAAUUUAUUUAUCGAUAAUAUUGCGAUAAAUCGCCCAUGACAAAAUCGUGAUGUAUUCUCCGACCGAAUCGCAACUUAUCGUCAUCACUGCUACUCGGUGUAAUUUACAGAAUUGCUAUAAUACUACUAUACCUUACGGCUUACAUCAGUCAUUUCGAUAAAUUCAUAAUGAUGAAUCAAUAUGCAGCUUAAUGCCUUGACUUAUGCAAUAGUAACUAACUAUCAAUGUCGCUAUCACUUACUCCUCUAGAUUUCGAUCUGAUAACCUAUAUAGUGUAAGUUUACAUUGAAAGCCUUCAUUGAGCUUUUAAAUGAUCAGUCCUCACGUGAAUGAAACAUACUGUAGUCUGCACCUUCCGAUGAAACGAGAAGAUAAUUCGCACGUACUCGUAUGCUUUCCGAAUCCGCAAUGUUGUUAUUACUUUUCACAAUCUUGUCAUCAUUCUUCAAAAUCUUGUCAGCAAAAGCUCUAAAGUUAGAAAUACCAUACGAGCCCAAUUUCCUGCCGAAAAACUGAAAAAAUUAGAGGAAUACAAACUUUUGCCGGAUUUAUUGUCCAGGCCACCACAUCUAGAAGCACAGAUAACGUUCCACGAUGGAUCAGUUGCAGACUUCGGCAAUGUAGUCUCGCAGCAAAAGAUGCUGAAGGCACCAAAUAUCUCAUGGGCUGCAAAGGUAGACACUGAAAACACGGUAGUAAUCAUGGGUAAAAUUUUAAUCGUAUAUCUGGUGAAAUUCAAAUAUCCAGGGCUAGUCCUUUUUUUCUUGGUCCUCUAACAGUAAAAACUGAAAUCUAUGUGAGAAUAUACCUGUUUGCAAUUAACGUGUCAAACAUUUUUGGCCUAUUGUAGUGAACGGAAAAUUUCUUGAACGAAACUCUUCAGUCACCCACAUGAAAGAAUUUACAUUUAGGACUAGAGUGAACAUUCAGGCCAUUUUUGUAAAUGAUCGGAAGUGAUCAACAUCUCUGAGCAAGAACAAUGCUUUUCAAGUUUUCCUCGUGUUAUUUGGUUGCCUACACUUUUUUACCGAUUGCAUAAGCGGAUCCAGGGAGACCCCCCCCCCGUUCGCCCGAAAAAAAAGAGCAAGAAGAAAAAAAGAGGGAAGGAAAGACGCUUACAUUUGGUAAUUAUUCAUGACGACUCGAACUACAUAUAGAAGCUGCAAAAAUGCAAAAAUUUCUGGGGGGCCGGACCCCCUUCCGCCCCCCAAAAUAGGGACCUCCGAUGGCUCAGGUCAUCUAAAAAGUUUUAUUUUAUAAUUUUUUAUUCUACAGACUUAGAUCACCAUAUUGACGGGGUGAAAAAUACAUCGAAUGCAUCUGAAAUUCACUAUGCAUACUGGGUUAUAGGAAAUGUGCCGACUUCAUCGAUAGAGAAAGGUUAUGAAAUCGUACCAUACGAAGCUCCUCGAAUAGAUCAAGCCGGGCAAAAAGGUAAACCUGUUUAUUGUAUAAGACAAAAUUUGGGUCGUAGAAAUAAAUUAUGACCCUUACUUAAUUUUGAAUAGCUUUCUAUUUCAUCAUGAAUAAGAGCAGUCUCUCUGUUAUUACCUGCUGGUUUUAAACGUUUACCAUUAUAUCAGUACCCCACGGCCAAAAGGUACCUUUAUUUUAAAUAAAGGUAUACGGUUUAAAUAAGGUAUAUAAUAAAGGUAACUUUAUUUUAGUCUUGUCGAGACAUCAGGGGAAAACUGCGCGUCGGCCCCACUGAUUCCAAUGUACUUAAAUCGCAAUUGUAGAAACUCCGUAUCUUAUAACCGGUGUAAGAUAGGGCUAUUAAAUGUUCCACACACACGGAACCAUUAAUGGAAAUUUCGAAAACGCUGCUGACACGAUUUUUCCAAAAAUGUGAGUUAGGUACCUUUUGGCUCUAUGGUACUGAUACAUUCAAUAGUAUUAAUGAAUUGGGUAGACUGGAACAUUAGCAAGAUGGGUUUCCUUUGCAUGUUGCAACGUACGUAUUAUGUGACAUUUUUGAGAGGGAAAUUGAGAAACCAAAUGCUGAAAAAAUGUCAAUACCUGGUCUAAAACUUUUAUUUAUUUUUUACUUUCUCGCUCCCCUAGUUUUUACUCUACUUAAAGUUCAUAGGUAUAACAUUGAAUAAAAAAUUACAACUUGCGGGCUAUUUCUACGUUCGUUUUUCAGAACUGCAUAGAAUUUGCUUCCUGGUUUACUUUCAAUAUGAUGGUUCUCGAGACUUCUACACGCCCGACACGGUUGAGAAGUGAGUACUAUCCAUGAUUAGAUUUCAAUCCAGUUUUAUCAUCAGCCGGGUAAUAGUUCAGUACUUACUUACUUAGUUUAUUGACGUGGUAUUUUUCAAAAAUUCAUCAUUUUUGGAUCGAAGAAGAGGCCCAACAAUAGACGGCCAACAUACCUUUACCAUGCAAAACAACCUCAAAACUGAGCAAAAAUUUGUAGAUAUCGAUCAUGAUGAGUGAGACUUGUCUCAUAGAAAUUUCCCAUAGGCAAUUUACAAUUUUAACUAAUUUUAGGGCCAGUGAAAAGGGGAAUCUGUCUUUUGAAGUAGGAUUAGCUGUCAGUUAAUGAAGGAUAAGUCGGUGCAAACGCGAUCUAUAUUUAUAUCCUUUGUUGAAUUUUGCCAUUCGUAAUAAUCAUCUAUAAGAGCAUACUAGUAACCAAGAAUUAAAUAUUCUCACUAUUCAUAAGAUUUAAAAAUAGAUGAAUGAUUAAAACAUAGUUGCAUUUCAGGCGGAAGGACUAUCGAAUGUGGUUUAACAUACAUAAUCUGACAGAUAAGUACAUAGUGAUAGGACCAAUUGCUAUGAAUUUUGUUCGAGCACCCGUACAAGUCACAAAGCUCAAUGGACCGAUCAAAGAGACCUGGACUUGAGUUUCAGCACUUUUGAAAGCCGCACCUACGCGUGAUUUGGAUGUUCAUGCUAUGAAAACAGUAAGUUUUAGUUUUGACCGAAAAUUAACUGCAAUCUGAGAUUCAUUAACUCUCUGAAAAUUACUUAAUUGUUCUCAGAACCUGUAACUGUAACAUAAGGUCUGACAAACGACACAUUGAUGCUAGAUCACGGUGGUCUUGAAGCAAAAAAAAUGCGACAAAAAUGUGCCCAAAACAGUUUGCAGAGGGUGAAUGUAUGGUAUGUGUAGAUUUAAAAUCGCGAAAAAUCAAAAUCUGCAAUAAUGCAAAAAUGAAUUACAUAGAUAAGCUUGCUUAGGAAGGUUUCCCUGCAAUCAAGGUGAUCUUUUCAAUCUCAAAUGAUCUUAGGCCUUGAAUUGUAGAAACUGAAAUUGUUGAAGACUUGAAGAGCUAAAUGAAUCAUUGUGAAGUAUUAUCAAUGCUCCCUCUAAAGCGUUAAAAAUCCACGUCAUGAUAAGACACGUGGAGCGAAGCUUAGAAUUCAUAGAUGGAAUUGAAGUAACGUUUUGGUAUAUUGGUUAGAGAAAAGUUGUGUAAGUCUCCACAGUAAAUUUUCAUAGCACUGGGAACGCUAGCAUAGACUCACGCCCUGCAAACCGUUUUUGAGUACAUUUUUGUUGAAUUUUUUUAAUUUCUUUGCUUCAAGAUCAUUGAGAUGUUGGCGCUUUUUCAGUCUUAGGGGAAAGUUUAGGCUAAAUCUCUCGCCAAUAAGACUGAAAAUUUGUAGUACGGUUUAUUUUAUUUUGCAUUUAAACUUAUAGUUUGUCGUGAAAAGUUUUUUGAGAAUCCUCCACGAAAAGAAUAUAAAACACAACUUCCUAUUGAUAACAAUAUUAAUUAAAGAGCUAAAAUGUUUUUCAUUAUAUGGUUGCUUUCAAUUCGCCUUCAGCUGCGUCCGUAGCAAUUGUUGUUGCGAAUAUGUUGUGCGUGCCGAUCUUAGCUCAUUACAUACCUGACUCUCUGAAGGCGUUUUAUGUGCGAAAGUAGAGGACCCUGUUGGAGAAAAACAUAAAUGAAAUUGAAUGAAUCGCUCAAUCCCUACACUUCAUUCGUUCUCCAACAGAUUGCGCCACUUGCACACGUAAAACGCCUUCAGAGAGUCGAGUAUGCAAUGAGCUAAAAUCAGCACGCACAAAAUAUCCGUAACAACAAUUAUUGCUGCAGAUGCAGCAAAAGGCGAACUGUUCAGUUAAAAAAAGAGUAUGGUAGGAAGUCUGCAUGCAUCAAUGUAACAUGAGAAAAAUAAGGGAAAAACGGGGGAAAAAGCAGAAAAACAACAAUAAAAAACCCGAGACGUUUCGACUCGAAACUGAGUCAUUUUCAGUCGGGAAAUAAAUUGUAUUUAUUUUUUCCGACUGAAAAUGACUCAGUUUUGAGUCGGAAUGUCUGAGGUUUUUUACUGUUGGAUUUUAGCCUUGUUUCCCGUUUCGUCCCCUUGUUUUCUCAUGUUCUAUACCAUUGUCUUGGGCUGUACCGUAAACAUUUGUAUCCAUGCAACAAUAGGGUAUUUAUUUGAGUGGCUUGAAUGGAAGGAAAAAUAAAAACGUGAAUCGAUCGACGUGAACCAAUCCACACCGAUUCAAUGGACAAAUAAAUUAAAAACCGAAUCAAAAUCAGUAGAAAACUUGUAUUUACCCAGGAUUUUUAUUUUUCGCGAUUUUAAGUCUACAUGUGCCAAAAAUUCACCCCCUGAAAAGCGUUUUUGGGCACAUUCUUGUCGCACUUUUUUUUUGGUUUCAAGACCACUGUUAGAUAGUAGU
rnacentral:lncRNA from 1 species